AAGCCUAAAAAACGCUCGAAGCCUUCGCCGCCGAAGCCUUCACCGCAACCUCUCCGCAAUAGUUCUGCCUCUCUUCACUACCGUCGUCGUCGCCGUCGCCGGACUCCUCUCUACCUCUCGGCACUCACCGCCACCAGCCGUAGGAAUCCUCUCCGCCUCUCUGCACUGAUCAUCGCCGGCCGCACGACUCCACCCCGCCUCUCCGCACUCGCCGUCGCUGCAAGACGUUCUUCCAUCUCUCCGUACCAUAGGACCACAGCAAGAGUAAGCAAGCCCUUUGAUAGCCACUCCACACUCUACAUCAAGCCAAAAGCUCAAAGCAAAGGUCAUUACAUAGCUUUCAAAGGAUGAGUAAAAUGGUUAAAAAACGUGGCAAAGGAUCUGUAGCUGAAAUUCAGGAAAAUAUAACUAAUAAGUUAUCGAGAAUGGACUCUAACAAUUC